rnacentral:rRNA from 1 species
AUUGAACGCUGGCGGCAGGCCUAACACAUGCAAGUCGAGCGGAUGAAGGGAGCUUGCUCCUGGAUUCAGCGGCGGACGGGUGAGUAAUGCCUAGGAAUCUGCCUGGUAGUGGGGGAUAACGUCCGGAAACGGGCGCUAAUACCGCAUACGUCCUGAGGGAGAAAGUGGGGGAUCUUCGGACCUCACGCUAUCAGAUGAGCCUAGGUCGGAUUAGCUAGUUGGUGGGGUAAAGGCCUACCAAGGCGACGAUCCGUAACUGGUCUGAGAGGAUGAUCAGUCACACUGGAACUGAGACACGGUCCAGACGCCUACGGGAGGCAGCAGUGGGGAAUAUUGGACAAUGGGCGAAAGCAUGAUCCAGCCAUGCCGCGUGUGUGAAGAAGGUCUUCGGAUUGUAAAGAACUUUAAGUUGGGAGGAAGGGCAGUAAGUUAAUACCUUGCUGUUUUGACGUUACCAACAGAAUAAGCACCGGCUAACUUCGUG